GGAUAUAGCUCAGUUGGAAGAGUGCUUGCCUUGCAUGCACAAGACCCUGGGUGCAAUCCCCAGCACCA
rnacentral:tRNA from 1 species